UAUUCAGUUUAUAUACCGUCGUUAUUAGAAUAUUUUACAAGAAUGUUAAUUUUCUAAAUUUUGAUUUAAAAAAUAUAUCAGAUCAAGGUGUAGCUAAUAUUUAAGUAGAAAUGGGUUACAAUAAAUUUAUUUAAACGAAUAUAAAUUUGAAAUAUUUAUUGAAGGUGGAUUUGAUAGUAAAAUUAUAAAGAUAAAUAAUUUGAUUUUAGCUCUAAAAUAUGCACACAUCGCCCGUCACUCUUAUUAUUAAGGUAAGAUAAGUCGUAACAUAGUAGAUGUACUGGAAAGUGUACCUAGAAUGCAAUUUAAAGCUUAUUAAGUAAAGCAUUUCAUUUACAUUGAAAAGAUUUUUGUGCAAAUCAAUAUAAAUUGAUUAGAUUUUAUUUAUUAAUAUUGUUUUUAAAAUUAUUAAAUUAUUAAAAGUAUUUAUUAAACGGUUUGUUUUAGUAUUUUAAAAGAAAAAAUAAUUUUUAUUAUAGUGUAAUAGUAUUGUGAAAGAAAAUUGAAAUAAUUUGAAAAAUU
rnacentral:rRNA from 1 species